rnacentral:rRNA from 1 species
GAGUUUGAUCCUGGCUCAGGAUGAACGCUGGCGGCGUGCUUAACACAUGCAAGUCGAGCGAAGCAUUUAGGAUGAUCUCUUCGGAUUGAGUCUUAUAUGACUGAGCGGCGGACGGGUGAGUAACGCGUGGGUAACCUGCCUCAUACAGGGGGAUAACAGUUAGAAAUGACUGCUAAUACCGCAUAAGCGCACAGGGCUGCAUGGCCUGGUGUGAAAAACUCCGGUGGUAUGAGAUGGACCCGCGUCUGAUUAGCUAGUUGGAGGGGUAACGGCCCACCAAGGCGACGAUCAGUAGCCGGCCUGAGAGGGUGAACGGCCACAUUGGGACUGAGACACGGCCCAGACUCCUACGGGAGGCAGCAGUGGGGAAUAUUGCACAAUGGGGGAAACCCUGAUGCAGCGACGCCGCGUGAAGGAAGAAGUAUCUCGGUAUGUAAACUUCUAUCAGCAGGGAAGAAAAUGACGGUACCUGAC